rnacentral:rRNA from 1 species
ACCCGCUGAAUUUAAGCAUAUCAGUAAGCGGAGGAAAAGAAAACAACAGUGAUUCCCUCAGUAACUGCGAGUGAAGCGGGAAGAGCCCAACGUCGAAUCGCUUUUGCCUUUAACCGGGUGGCGAUCAUAUCGCGAGCGAGCUGUGACGUAUGGACUCUCUGCACCGAGUCCGGUCGUGCCACCAAAGUUUACCUGGAAAGGUGCGCCAAAGAGGGUGAGAGCCCCGUGUGUGGUGGUGUGAGUGUUGUGUAAGACCGGAUUCGCUAGCUUUCAGCUAGUGUGGCAGUGAGUUCCCUGAGUCGGGUUGUUUGGGAUUGCAGCCCUAAGCGGGUGGUAAACUCCACCCAAGGCUAAAUACUGGCACAAGACCGAUAGCGAACAAGUACCGUGAGGGAAAGUUGAAAAGCAUUCCGAAAGGAAGGUCAAAUAGGACGUGAAACCGUUAAAGGGGAAGCGGAUGGAGGGGUCGAAAUAUCCCACCCGGUCCAGCGUCGUGUGCCUAUGGUACAUGCGACGUUUAUGCCGUACUCUAAGGUGUGGAUGAGCCGAAACAGUCGUUGCAAGUACGGCCAAGGCAGCUUGGGCACUUGAUUGUCAUUAUCCACUACUUAGUUUGGCCUUUAUCCGUCAAAUGUUAGUAUGUGGUCUAUGAUGGCGAUCAGCUGCUAUCUGUAUGUUGUACGCGUGUCUAAACCGCAACACCACUUGGUGCUAUAGACUUAUCAUCUUUAGCUGAAAGAAUCGUUUGCGAUGACUGAGUAUUAGCGUCGUUGAGACGAGGCUGUACGCCUUCUUUGGUGUUUCUGCAUCAAAGCUUGAGGCACUGUGCUGCGUGAAGUGUGCGCAUUGGUCCCAGUACUACUUUUAUAAUAGAAUGAUUCGAAGUUGGUGUAAAAGCCAACCUAGACAUCAACUCUUUAUAACAAGAUUUAUUCCCGGUGAGGCCUUCAUCGUGCGGGGAGAUAUUAUUGUAAGCUCAAACUUCCAAUGAUAUCUCUGCGAUGAUAGGCGAGACCUCGCACGCAUCUGUCGUGGGAACGUGGGUCAAACCACGGUCCGUUAUCACGCCGGGUAGUACUCGAUUAAUUGUUACACGCGUAUUACCGUCGCCAGCCUUGCGACACGCGCACUUUUCUGAUGAGUACAGCUAAUUUUCGGCGAGACACCAAUCCAUCCGACCCGUCUUGAAACACGGACCAAGGAGCCUAACAUAUGCGCGAGUCAAAGGGUGACUGAAACCCACAGUGUGUGAAUGACACCGAAGCUCGAGGGUUUAUCCCCAACCAGGACCUCGAGCUUCUUCAAGUGAUGAGGCGUAAUGAAAGUGACCACCAAUUGUGGUGAUGAGAUGGGAUCUGACUGUGUUACGAUUUGCCAUUUUUGACAACUCUCAAACAGUUGGCGCACCAUCAGCCGGUCUGCGCGUAGGUGCGGAUUGAGCGAGAGCGCAUAUGCUAGAACCCGAAAGAUGGUGAACUAUUCCUGGAUAGGGCGAAGCCGGAGGAAACUCCGGUGGAGGCUCGUAGCGAUUCUGACGUGCAAAUCGAUCGUCAAAUCUGGGUAUAGGGGCGAAAGACUAAUCGAACCAUCUAGUAGCUGGUUCCUUCCGAAAUAUCCCUCAGGAUCGCUGAGAUUUGACAAAAAGCUUUAUUGCAUAUGGUAGUUUCAUCGGGUAGAGCUAAUGAUUAGAGUUAUUUGGGAGCUACUGCUCCUGAAACUAUUCUCAAACUGCCAACCGGUGAGUCACUGGUCCGGCGAUUUCUUUGGUGCUCUAGGUCAGUUAUUUUAGGUGAGAUGUGUGCGCAUAUCUCAUCACUGAUCUGGAUAUCAUCCGGUUCGGUGGUCCGGUGUGAUUUUGUUACCUUUGGUGUAGACCUUUACCGGAAUACAUUAUUUGUAACAGAGUCAUAUACUGAGUGGCUUCGAGGUGUACGAAAGUGGCCCUCACGACAGAGGCUGUUUAAGUAAACCGUGGCUAUCACCGUGAUGAUAAACAGUAAAAUGUGCACGAUUUUGAAUCGCUGACCACGAUCAUAUUCGGCUGGUAAAACAGUUGGGUACGAUUACGCACUAGAGGAGCGCAAAGCUUUGUGCGGGAGGUGAAUACCAGAGUCUCAAGUGGGCCGUUUCUGGUAAGCAGAACUGGCGAUGCGGGAUGAA